UAAAAGGAAAAAAAAGAAACUUGCCCAAAGCCACACAGCCAAUGAGCGGAGUGACUAGGACCAGGACCCAGGCAUUCUGAUGCCAGAGCUCAAACUCUAAAUCACUCUGCUCUACUACUGCUCAGUCAAGUUUGCAUUUUUAUGUCCAAUAAAAUAAACAGAGUUACCUGGCUAUUGUCCUCACAGUAGACUGCAAAAAACAAAUUGGAGGGAGAAAAAGAUUUGUUAUCAAAGAUAAUCAGCAAACAGAAGUUACUCUAAAUCUUUCAAACCAAGGGACUAGUUACUGAGUGAUGGAUGGCUGAGCGGCCACAGAGGGAACAGGGAGGCAGCCCACAGACUAGCAACCUUGGAAAGCUAGUCUGCCUAGGCAGGAGGGAUAAGGGAAGAAAGUGAUGUUAUCAGAGCAAGAGACCGGGGCCAAGAAACAAGAGUAGAACAACGGCACAGGCUGCUAUGGAGAAAGGAGAAGUCACGUGGGAGCAGAAGCUGUGGAAGAAACACACAGCUGCUCCUAAAGAUGCCAAAAAAGCAGGGAGAGGCACGGAGAGAUGCCCUUGGGUCUCCCCUGGGUCACCAAAAGGCAAGGAAGCCUGGGAAAUAUAGUUCCCUACAACACAGAUCUAAGAACAAGUCUGCAAAUGAGCACCACAAAGAUGCAGCUGCUCAACUGACAAUACAGAAACACUCCAAAAAUAAAAAACAAGAUUAAAAAGGCAGAUUUGUCAAAACUUAGUUUAAUGUCAAGUAGUCCUACACACUCCAGCAGUCCCUAAACAAACAAUAACAACAAUAACAAUGCCUUUUACUUACAUGGUUCUUCACAAGGCACAUUGCUGUAGUACGGCUCAAUUCAAUAACUGAUGUCUACAAAGACGAGGCUAAGAAGUUUUCACUAUUCUCUGUUUAGUUAACCAGGGAGAUAUAUGUGUUCUAGAAAUAUCCCCACCAUAAAAGUAAUGAGUUUAUCUGAUAGAGUUUAGUAGAAUUUUAUAAUCAAAAUUUUACUCACGUAGAAUAAAUUGUUCCCCAUCAAUGUUGUCUAAAUAAGGUGUUAAUGUAGCUGUGAUUCUGGAAGGCCAGAUCUGCCGUCACAAUUUCACCUGCUGUUUGACAAAGUAGGAGCCAGAACACAAAUUCUUGCCCUCUUCUCAGAAGCCCUUGUAGCAAAAAUUCUUGGAGGUAGGUAGGGAGGGGACAGAUGAAAGAAAAACUCAAAAAACAAAAAUGUAUUACCAGGAAUCUCCAAUCAGUGCUGGCUUCUGCAGCACACAUACUAAAACUGGAAAAACACAAAGAUUAGCCUGGCCCCUGUGCAAGGAUGACAUGUAAAUUCGAGAUGCCUUCCAUUAUUUUGCUUUCCUUUUCUAAUGUCCAUAGGUACAUAACAAAGGCUCUGAUGAGCGGAAUCACUCAAUUUACCCAACUGAGGGCACUUCCUGCUUCAACCCCAUCCCCAACUCUUCCUCACAAAAAAGG